GGGGGGAAUGUCUAAUUUCUGUGAUGUGUAUUCUGGGGAACCACAAGACUCAGUCCAUUACUAUGACACAUCCUCUUGACCUCCUGGAAUAUGAAUGACAAUAAAAUUGAGAAUAGAAAUGCGGAAUGUGCCAAAGAGACACACAACCCGAACACAGAGCAGACAACAGCAGAAGGUCACCAAUAGGUAAUCAGAAAACAGAAAU
rnacentral:lncRNA from 1 species